rnacentral:tRNA from 1 species
GGGCAUGUGGCACAGUGGUAGCGCGCACGCUUUGCAUGCGUGAGGUCUAGGGUUCGAACCCCUACUUGUCCA